GUCAAACUUCGCAUUUCUCUCUCUCUCAGCUCUCCACUAUCUCCAAUUCGUCGAAGGAUUUCAGCCUACGAACGUCGUUGUUUUUUAAGGCCCGGGCAAAUGAAGCAUUUCCAGCUCUUGAAAAUGAUGUUGCCAAGUCAAGGGAUGUUCAUUUGCCUACUCUAAGAUGUUGAGAUGUCAUACAUCUAAAUUGAGCGAAAGGUGGCCCAUUUCAAGUCAAGGGAUAGGUUCGGAGAUUGUGCACCCUUACAUUAUUCCUAUAGUGCGAGAGGCGGUAGAGCAGUUUAUAAAACAUUUAGUGACAUAUGAUGAGGUAAGGAAUCUAGCUGGGGAUGUUGUGAAGGCUGAAUUGAAUAGAGUAACUGUCAUUAUCACACCACAGUGAUCUUAUAGGAGUUUGAGAAAGGAGGCUUUGAAUAAUGAUGAAAAAUCUGAUAAUAUAGGUGGCAGUGCAUUAUAUUUUUCUGCAGAGACAUGAAGGGAGAAAAUGAGGUAGUGAAGGGUCUUCGAGAGGCUAUGUAGGACCAAUGUCGGAACCAUCCUUAGAGGAAGUAUUGUUCAAAUCAGUAUCAACUGAGGAUAAGUUGGUGGAUGCUCCAAUAUGUCAAGGAGGAUCGGAAUUUAUCAUAGGAUUCUGUCCGGACUGAUCAAGAACGAGAGAGGUAAGUAAUUUUAGAAUGUGUAGCGGUUUUGGUAUUUUUUUAAAAUGUCAUAUGCAUUUAGGAUAGUUAUUUACAUGCACAAUGAAGUCAAUUCACCCGUGAUCAUUGCUACUCGACCUACUCAACGUGCCAUCGAUGGGAAUCUCACUAAGGUUGAUCAGCUACAAGAUUGUGUUAUCAACAAGGAAAAUGAAAAGGCUCUCAUUGAAAAUGUCGAUGUUGAUCUAAGCUUGGAUAUGGAAAUAGCGAGUGUGGAUGAGAAUGCAGCUGAAUUCUCUAAUCUAGUUGUGGAUAUGGAGAUGGAGAUUAAGGUCAAGAACUAGGUGGUCCUGAGAAAAACAAUAGGUCCAUGCACUGCCCGAGGACGACAAGCCAAGUGGUACUAAUCUGUAUUGAUGAUGAAGCAAAUUGCAAUGUCGAUAGUGGAGUUAAUUCUAGAGUUAUUGCUGGUGACAAUGCUACAAUUGAAGCAACAACAACGUUUGGCAAUAAGGUAGAUGUCUUAGGCAUUGUUGCUGAGAUCGAAGAACAUGAAGUGUCACGACCCAAAUCCCACCAGGCAUGAUGACACAUAAUUCAACCUAUUAGGAGAACCAUCCAACAUAUGAAUAAACCAUAACAUGAGAUAAUAUAUUAAUAAGAAGCAAAAGAAUGAAAUUUUAUUACAAAUUACCUCCAAGAAUUGGUAUCACAAGUCAUGAGCAACUAAGAUUUAGAAUAUACAGAUGGUAUGAAAAGAAUACAUCAUUUGUUUGAAAUAAUACAUAAAUAGAUACAUAAGACUCCUAGGCUACCAUGAACAAAUGGCACAAAUUCUUUGGAACAUGGAGGUCUUUAAAGCUCACCCUUGAACUCUGCAACAUCUCAUCUCUAUAAUUGCAAACAAGGUACAGAAUUGUAGUAUAAGUACAACCGACCUCAUGUAUUCAUUAAGUAUCAAAAUUAACCUCAAAGAAGUGAUGACGAGGCUUAGUCGAAAGAUAUUCACUUUAUAAAACCUUUGCAGCUCAUAAGAAUAUAUAAUAACAGCGAUAUAACCAAGAAACAACUAAAGAAAUAACGACUAUCAAUAAUAAAGGUGCACAAUCGAAGAAAAAGUAAGAAGCAUGCUUUUCCAAUUAAACAAGUCAAAGCAAAUACAAUCACACCAAUUUCGCAUUCAAAAGAGAUGCAGCAAGUACAUUUACUCAAAUACUUUUACAUGAAUAUAGAGAGUCUAUACAUGAUAAAGAUCCAAUUUCACAUCAAUUUCCAAUAACAUUUAUAUGAAAGCCUUUACAUGAGUCCAUUAUGUCAAUGUAUAAUGAAUGCUCUCCUUUUACAUUAAUCUGACACCCUUUAAUUGUCCAACAACUCACUAGCAAGUCAUUUGCAUAUGUAAAAUGUAUCAACUAGUAUAUGCAGAAGAUAUGCGUCAAUAAAGCAUGAAAAAUUCAUGAAUUCGCACAAAGAAUUCACAUCAAUAAAAUAAAUCUUUCACAUUUGUGCUCAAAACCUAUCAAUCGAAUCCCAUAACACAAACAAACCAAAAGUUCGUCGAUUUUUUACAGUCUACAUGUAUGCCACCAAGAGAGAAACAUUGUAACACCCCGAAAAAAAUUCGGCUUAGGUAUGAAUGAGCUAAAGGAGUAG